UGGGGAAUAUUGCACAAUGGAGGGAACUCUGAUGCAGCAACGCCGCGUGCGGGAUGACGGCCUUCGGGUUGUAAACCGCUUUCAGCCAUGACGAAGCUUUUGUGACGGUAGUGGUAGAAGAAGCACCGGCUAACUACGUGCCAGCAGCCGCGGUGAUACGUUGGGUGCGAGCGUUGUCCGGAAUUAUUGGGCGUAAAGAGCUUGUAGGCGGUUUGUCGCGUCGAUAGUGUAAACACGCAGCUUAACUGUGUGCCUGCUGUCGAUACGGGCUGACUAGAGGACGGUAGGGGAGAAUGGAAUUCCCGGUGGAGCGGUGGAAUGCGCAGAUAUCGGGAGGAACACCAGUGGCGAAGGCGGUUCUCUGGACCUUUCCUGACGCUGAGAAGCGAAAGCGUGGGUAGCAAACAGG
rnacentral:rRNA from 1 species